UACGGGGGGAGCAAGCGUUGUUCGGAUUUACUGGGCGUAAAGGGCGCGUAGGCGGCCAGCGCAAGUCAGUUGUGAAAUCUCCGGGCUUAACUCGGAACGGUCAACUGAUACUGCGCGGCUAGAGUGCAGAAGGGGCUACUGGAAUUCUCGGUGUAGCGGUGAAAUGCGUAGAUAUCGAGAGGAACACCUGCGGCGAAGGCGGGUUGCUGGGCUGACACUGACGCUGAGGCGCGAAAGCCAGGGGAGCGAACGGG
rnacentral:rRNA from 1 species